AAGCCCUUCCUGUGAGUGCCCGCAGAGUCACUGCAUCCCAAUGCCAUGGAGAUGGUGGUCAGGGAUGGGGACACCCAAACACCCCAACCCCACAGGUGCUGAAAGGAAUUCCCGUGGGAACCUGGUGGUGUCGGUGGUGAGGGGCUGCGCUGCUGCCUUUGUCGUCAUCCUCGGCCUUUACUUUGUCCUAGAUGCACGUAGACUCAUGGUGUGUUGAGAUGAGAGUCCUGGUGAGGAAGUGGUUAAAUGCCUUUGAUCCCCAUAGAUGCCCCUUGGUGUCCUUCUCCUCCCCUCCUCUCCUCUGUGUGUCCCUCGGGGCCUUCCAUCACCCACCCUUCUCCCUUCCCUCUGCAUGCAGAUCCCCCUGCAGAAGGCCUGAGGCCAUGCAGCUCCAGGUGCUCCUUGGUGAAAGCGAGGCUCUGAACUCUGCUGAGCUGUGACCUCCGACCCCUCAUGGUCCCCCACCACCUCCCAGCCUCCUGCUAUCUAUGCCGAGGUGGGUGCUGGAGGACCUCACUGACACCUCCACAGUCCAGGUGCCUCACUUUGGGCAGACCCCAUGUUCCUCUUCAGGGCAACUUGAUGCUGAGUUCCUUUUCACAAGCUCCUUCCACACAAACCCAAUACCCCAAAUCUAGCACCCCCAAAUCGUCACUGAUGAACUCCAAAUGAUUUCAGUCUCAGAAAACUCUAAACGCACUGAACCCAAAAUGCUGCCCUCCCUCUGUUCUGCUUCUAGCAUCGCUUGGGAGUUGGUGAGCACUGCUUUGUGAGACAUUUCCUUAUAACUAUCUGCACAUAAAUACACACAUAUAGACAUAUACUAUAACCAUUACUGUUAUUUCACUCUUCCUGUUGUCGCGUGGCAAAUAGACUUUAUCUUGACCCACAAGUUGUGGCUUUUUAUUCUGACUCUCUCCGGGAUCCCACUGGGAGGGGUCAGUGAGAAUAAAAGCUGUGUGGUGCUGAGCUGCUGGCGGGUGACAGCACCGCAGUCCUUGUGGUGCCCAACGUGGGGCCCGAAGGGUGCAGAUCCCCACAGCUGUGAGCAGAGCGUGUUCCAACACAACUGCUCUCAGCAGUACAGCAGCCUCAGAGCUGCUGCUCACAGCGCUGAGCUGUUCCUUCCCUCUGGGCCAUCACAGCUCUCAGGGCUCUUUCCUUCCCUGCGCUGGCGCUGCUUCUCCUCUCCAAGGGCUGCCCUGCAAUUCUGGAUGCUUCUGCCCGUUGGCCUGCAGCGUGUGCUCAUGGCUCAGCGGCCAUGGAUGCAAUGUGCUCCUUGUGCUCGGCAGUGUCAUCACUCUCGCACUGCAGGAACCUCACCGCAGGAACUCCUCACACGGGCACUCUCUGCUCCACACAAGUGCUGUGGAACAACAAAACCCAUUUUCUGACAGGUUUUCUUUGCUUGCUACCUCUCAAACAUUUGCAAGACAAGGCUCUUGCCAGAACAACAGAGGCUGCAAAGCCCGAGAUGCCGUGAGAUAACCGGACAGCCUUUGUGUGUCCACCAAUGGCACUGCUUCACCGCAAGCACCUUUCUGGUACAGACACAUUUCUGACCAAUGUGGCACUGUGAACUCACUUCUUUACAUCCUUGCGAUGCUGCAGCUGCCCACGAGCAGGCACAAAGGGAUGCCCAGAGAAGCUGCAUUUCUUGCUGUCUCCUUUUGGCCAGGUGGUGACUUCAGCGAUUGGAUGAGCGCUCUCAUCCCCCCUUCUGCUCCAGCACUGCAGCUCCCCAAAACGGACCACGAUUGCUUUUCUCCUUCCAUCUCUCUCUCUCUUACGUUCCUUCUCUGCUUCUCUCCAUUUCCUCUCUUUUCUUUCUUUUUUUCUCUCUCCCUCAUUUACAUCCAUUUACAUGGUCAUCUUUACUCUUCUCCUGCAGCAGCCAUAACCUCAAUUUCCCUGGCGGUAGCAGAGAAGGCAAUAACACCAGUGCCAAAGUAUCCUUUCUCUCUAUUGCUCAUUCAUUGUUACUUAUUGUAAGUCCCCUAAUUUCAGUGCAGGGCAGUUGAUUGGCUGAUGGUGGACAGUUCAAUAAAUGGUCUUCUGUUGUUC